rnacentral:rRNA from 1 species
UACGUAGGGUGCAAGCGUUGUCCGGAAUUAUUGGGCGUAAAGAGCGCGCAGGCGGUCGUUCAAGUCGCGUGUGAAAGCCCCCGGCUCAACUGGGGAGGGUCACGCGAUACUGAUCGACUGGAAGGCAGGAGAGGGUAGUGGAAUUCCCGGUGUAGUGGUGAAAUGCGUAGAUAUCGGGAGGAACACCAGUGGCGAAGGCGACUACCUGGCCUGUUCUUGACGCUGAGGCGCGAAAGCUAGGGGAGCAAACGGG